GUAUUCUUAUCGUAAACUGUACGGCUAAACAACAAAGUUUUAUUGAUAAACACUUCAUGGAACAUGGUUUAUUGUGUUUAUGUGUUCAGACAGAACAGUUCCAUGUAUUACGUCCGUGAGGAGACUACAUUUAGGUUUUUAUCACGACGCAACGCCUGCAGUGUUGCUAAUCACAAAAUUUAUACUACAUCAUUUUCAAACUAUUGGAAACUAAGAAAAUGGUUUGAAAACUCUAUUCUGAAGAAUCAAAAUUGCUCUUGUUACUCGCGUCUUUGAAUACUACAUAUUUACAAGAUCUCAAUAUGGUAGUUACGGCACUGUUAGAUAGACUGCAUCGCAACGCUACGCUGGUGGUUAACGCGUUGUAACCGCCCACGCAACCACGUUUCAUCUUAACAAACUAAAAAGUAUCAAGUUUUCUAGGUUCCCGUUAUUCCAAAUCAUACGCGUGUCAAUUGGUGAAAGAGUGGACUCGUCCAAGAUGGCUGCACAGUGAUCAGUAACACGCCAUACAACGUGAUUAUAGAUGAAAUUUAUAAAGAAAUUUCAUAUACGAUUCAUUAAUAUUAUUUUUGGAUUUUCAAAACAUUAAAUCUGUAUUGAGAUACGUAGAAUUUUAAAAAACUAGAACAAAAUUCAAUUACAGUCCCUUGGACUGUUCUCGCGCGUACUGCAAAACAAUGGCGACAUCCACUUGCACACGCAUUUCACAUCACAUUACGCAUCACUCUUCCCGCUGACUGUUAAUUCACAUCAUAUACUUUUAUUAUGUACAAAAAAACAUGCAAAAUGCACAAAAUGUCGCAUAUUUUUUAAUUAAAAAAUCUAUUAUUACGACAAUAUUAUAAAUAAUCACUUAAUAUCGUGGUUAUUUAUUAAUGUCGUAUAUGAAAAAAGAAAAAGUUAUAAAAAGGUCUUGUCAUCAAUUAAUUUAAACUACUGUUUUUUCGAAUUAUUACAAUACACGUCAUAUAUUUUAUAAAAUAUUUUAGAGACAUAACAUUGUUUUCAAUCAAGCGAUAAUAGCAUAUGUAUAUUAAGCUAUUACAAGUUUUUCAUUGAAGAGAGAAUAAGAUUAAAUAUUAUACGUGUAUAUGUAUAAUAAAGAAAUGGAGUAAGUAAAAAAUAAUA